rnacentral:rRNA from 1 species
UACGGAGGGUGCAAGCGUUGUUCGGAAUCACUGGGCGUAAAGGGCGUGUAGGUGGCUAAUUAAGUCAGGUGUGAAAUCCUUCCGCUUAACGGGAGAAGUGCACUUGAAACUGCUUAGCUAGAGUACGGGAGAGGAAGGUGGAAUUCCUGGUGUAGAGGUGAAAUUCAUAGAUAUCGGGAAGAACACCGGUGGCGAAGGCGGCCUUCUGGCCCGAUACUGACGCUGAGACGCGAAAGCGUGGGGAGCAAACAGG